CGAAACUAAUCGUUAAAAUCCUUUGGCGAUACAUUAACCCUAACCUACGGAGUCUCCUAACCCACCCAGACCUAGAAGCAAGCUUUCUUCUCUCGAUUCUUCUCUCACGUCGCCGCACAUCACGUCGCCGCACAUCGAAACUAAUUACAUAGCUUUAUCUUCUCUAGCCCAGCUCUGUCGCACAGUGUCUAUCUCCUUCUCAAGUGUGUAUGGCGUGCCUCUUUAUUAUCGUGACCUGUGAUUGUCUUGUAAAAUUAUCUAUAGAUUUGGAUCCAAUGGACCUGAAAUCGAAUCAUACAUCUCUCAUUGCCGAAACUGCAACCGUAACAAGGACAAGGUCAAGGCUCCGUGCACCCCUGAGAUUGUCUUCCUCUCCUACAAGUGGUUCGGAUUUUCUCCACGGUCCCUCGCACACAGUUCUAAGGAAGAAGAUAAUAGCUCUUACUAUUUUUGUUCUAAUGGUUGGCUCGAAGGAAUGAGAUCAUCUUCUCCCACUCACAGGAAAAUAUCUAUGGAUGUUGGCCAUGGUGUUGCGUCUUCUGAAGUUGAUGUUGCUUAUUAACCUACUGGUAUGCACCACAUACUCCCCUCUAUGUAAUUUGUGGUUGAAGUUCCGUUUGUGCGGUUAUUUGUUUCCUUUUUAUAGUUUUCAGAGCUAGAGUUUCCAUCCGCACUUACGUCUUUUGAGCAAAUUACUAAAUGUGCAAAAGACAUUUUAAUGGAGUAAAGUAUCAAUGAAGAUGUUGAUCAGGACGAGCAAGUGAGCAAUUUUAAGAGGAUGAUUGAAGUGAUGUGGAUGAAAUAGGUGAAGAAUUUCAAGAGGACGACAUAGGUGAUGGAUGAACUUCAAGAGGACGACAUAGAUGAUGAAAAGGGUAAUGGAGUUGACGAUGAGUUUGAAAAUUUUAAAUGAGUUGGAUGUUUUUGUUUUAGGCUUGUGCGUAGUUUGAAAAUUUUAAAUGAGUUGGAUGUUUUUGUUUUA